rnacentral:rRNA from 1 species
GACGAACGCUGGCGGCGUGCCUAAUACAUGCAAGUAGAACGCUGAAGGAGGAGCUUGCUCUUUCCGGAUGAGUUGCGAACGGGUGAGUAACGCGUAGGUAACCUGCCUGGUAGUGGGGGAUAACUAUUGGAAACGAUAGCUAAUACCGCAUAAUAGUAGAUGUUGCAUGACAUUUGCUUAAAAGGUGCAAUUGCAUCACUACCAGAUGGACCUGCGUUGUAUUAGCUAGUUGGUGAGGUAACGGCUCACCAAGGCAACGAUACAUAGCCGACCUGAGAGGGUGAUCGGCCACACUGGGACUGAGACACGGCCCAGACUCCUACGGGAGGCAGCAGUAGGGAAUCUUCGGCAAUGGACGGAAGUCUGACCGAGCAACGCCGCGUGAGUGAAGAAGGUUUUCGGAUCGUAAAGCUCUGUUGUAAGAGAAGAACGAGUGUGAGAGUGGAAAGUUCACACUGUGACGGUAUCUUACCAGAAAGGGACGGCUAACUACGUGCCAGCAGCCGCGGUAAUACGUAGGUCCCGAGCGUUGUCCGGAUUUAUUGGGCGUAAAGCGAGCGCAGGCGGUUAGAUAAGUCUGAAGUUAAAGGCUGUGGCUUAACCAUAGUACGCUUUGGAAACUGUUUAACUUGAGUGCAAGAGGGGAGAGUGGAAUUCCAUGUGUAGCGGUGAAAUGCGUAGAUAUAUGGAGGAACACCGGUGGCGAAAGCGGCUCUCUGGCUUGUAACUGACGCUGAGGCUCGAAAGCGUGGGGAGCAAACAGG